GAUGAACGCUGGCGGCGUGCCUAAUACAUGCAAGUCGAGCGAACAGACGAGGAGCUUGCUCCUCUGACGUUAGCGGCGGACGGGUGAGUAACACGUGGAUAACCUACCUAUAAGACUGGGAUAACUUCGGGAAACCGGAGCUAAUACCGGAUAAUAUAUUGAACCGCAUGGUUCAAUAGUGAAAGACGGUUUUGCUGUCACUUAUAGAUGGAUCCGCGCCGCAUUAGCUAGUUGGUAAGGUAACGGCUUACCAAGGCAACGAUGCGUAGCCGACCUGAGAGGGUGAUCGGCCACACGGGAACUGAGACACGGUCCAGACUCCUACGGGAGGCAGCAGUAGGGAAUCUGCCGCAAUGGGCGAAAGCCUGACGGAGCAACGCCGCGUGAGUGAUGAAGGUCUUCGGAUCGUAAAACUCUGUUAUUAGGGAAGAACAAAUGUGUAAGUAACUAUGCACGUCGUGACGGUAACUAAUCAGAAAGCCACGGCUAACUACGUG
rnacentral:rRNA from 1 species